rnacentral:rRNA from 1 species
AACGAACGCUGGCGGCAUGCCUAACACAUGCAAGUCGAACGAGACCUUCGGGUCUACUGGCGCACGGGUGCGUAACGCGUGGGAACCUGCCCUUAGGCUCGGAAUAACUCCCCGAAAGGGGUGCUAAUACCGGAUAAUUUCUUCGGACCAAAGAUUUAUCGCCUUUGGAUGGGCCCGCGUUGGAUUAGCUAGUUGGUAGGGUAAAAGCCUACCAAGGCGACGAUCCAUAGCUGGUCUGAGAGGAUGAUCAGCCACACUGAGACUGAGACACGGCCCAGACUCCUACGGGAGGCAGCAGAGGGGAAUAUUGGACUAUGGGCGAAAGCCUGAUACAGCAAUGCCGCGUGAGUGAUGAAGGCCUUAGGGUUGUAAAGCUCUUUUACCCGGGAUGAUAAUGACAGUACCGGGAGAAUAAGCACCGGCUAACUCCGUG